rnacentral:rRNA from 1 species
ACGCUCGACACCUACGGGGGCAGCAGUGGGGAAUAUUGCACAAUGGGGGAAACCCUGAUGCAGCGACGCCGCGUGGAGGAAGAAGGUCUUCGGAUUGUAAACUCCUGUUGUUGGGGAAAAAGAGGAUGGUACCCAACAAGGAAGUGACGGCUAACUACGUGCCUGCAGCCGCGGUAAUCUGAGGCGGGCUGGCAAGGC